AACUUUUUUAAAUUGUAUUAUUUCAUAUUUGAAUCAUUUCCAUGCCAUUUUCAAAUCUUUUUUUAACAAAAAUUUAGUUUCAAAGUUUUAAAUUUAGGUGAAAACUUGCUACAAAAUAACACAUUCUUUAGUCGUUUCAAUUGCUAUCUAUCCGCAGACUGCAAUUUUGUUUUCCCACAACCAUUCACACAAUAAAUAAGGGUAUAAAGUUUUGUUCAUAUAACACAUUUCAAUACUAACAUUUCAAUUUUGAACAAUUUUUCUAAACUUAUUUCCCUUCGCCCAAACGUCAUUCAACAUUCUUUGUACAAAACAUUACCAUUAUAGAAAAUCUCAUUUUUCCACUAUUUCAUUU
ensembl:ncRNA C01B12.9 ncRNA